CAGGAUUCUAAUGCUAUGGAAUUCAUAAAAGAGCAGUUCUGGAAGGCUUGCUUGUCCUUCAGAUAAUCCUGGAGGACAAGUACUUCUUCAGGCUGUUUGCUUGGAGCUUUCCCCGAAGCAACCAAACUGGAGCACCUGCCCUGCGAUGGCCGUAGCUGUGCCCUCAGCCUUGCUUCACGAUGAGGAAUGAUGGUGACUACCUGGCACUGCUAUUAUGUCGUGCCACUGGACAGGGAGGCCUGUGUUGGGAGCUGCCAGGAGCCAUUGUGAGCAGAGCAAGCUUUUUGAAAGACCCAUCUUGUCUGAACUCCACAAAGAAGAAUGGAAGAACUUUUGCCUGUGCUUUGGCCUCAGCAUUAAGGGGGAGUAACUUCCUUUGAAGACCAGGGUGGUGGUAACAAGGAUAUCCAGACUGAAAGAAUGCCAAGAAGGAGGUGAGAUUCAGGGCUCAGUUAAAUAAGUGAGUAUAGUUUCCCUUAGUUUGUUGCUUCCCAAUUCUCCAUUAGUAGACUUUUAACCCUUAUAGGUCAGAUGUAAGUUAAAAUGCAAAUAUUCCCUUGGAAGGGUAACAUUUUGCUGUUACCAUUCACCUAAAGAACUGAAAGGAGGCUCAGUUAACAGAGAAAGAGAAGCCGUAAGGGUAGCAAAGGUGUAGCUUCCCAGGAAGAUGGGAGCUGAUCAAAAUCUAACUUUGCUUUCCUUGUGCUGUAUCUGGGCCAGGCCCAGAGAACGGUCACCCUGAGUGACUCUCUGUGAACAGGGCAUUUGGUUUCUGCAGGCUUGCCGUCCCCAUGUGCCUCUAACAUCCUCAUGCUUAAUAGCGUCCUUGAAGUGUGCUGUUCUUCUUACAUAAGUGUGCUUCCUUUGGCUAAUCAGACAGAAGUUGUUAAGCAUCUCUGGAGAGUAUGAGAAAAGCUAUUACAAUAUCAAAAAAAAAAAAAAACAAACUCCUUUUCCAGGCGGAUUCACAAGGAAGUGCCUGAGAGGCAACUUUCCCCAUUGACUGCCAGCAUAAAAGAACUAAUCAUUGAAAUGCUGGGUGGUGAAUUGGUGGACUUGGUGAAUGGAUAAUGUUUCCUCUAAGAUCCCGGGCCCCAGAAGUUAUUAAAGGAUGAGGCUGGACACUUCUUGAUGAGGUCCCUUAAUCUCUAAGAGACCUUCAGUAUUCACUUCAUAACGGGAGACACAACAUUUAAUCUAAUGGAGGCAGUAAAUAUUUUGCAGAAAACAUAUGGCAUGAUUUCCAGAACAUUUUAACCAACUGUCUUAUAAAGAUUAAAAAAAACAAAACAAACGGGAUUUGUUUUCUUCAGGUCAGCAAUUCUUUAUUUUGGGGAGAGGCUGUGGAAGGAGGAGAGGGUAACGGAUACAAGCUAUAACUCAGGAAGGUGAUACAAGGAAGGUCGGGCAGGACAGAAUGUGUGAGAUCAUGUUAGAAAUAUCACCAGAUUCCUUAGGGAGUUGUAAAGGUGCCUUAAUUCUUGUCCUUGCCAAACAUCCUAUAAUAGUACGACAAGAUUUUAUUUAUGAUCACUGUCAAAUUGGACUCUGGGUAGGCCACAGGUGUGGAAUGUCAGUCAUGGCUCUUACAAUCAUCAGAAUGGCUCUCGUUAGGUCAUUAAGGAAAGGAAAGGAUUCAAGAUGAGGCCCUCCAAAGAAAUUGUCAUUUUCUUCAGGCUGGAGAGGCAUCUGUUUGCUUUUAUUAGGCACUAGUUGGUUUUGCAUUGAAAGAGCCAUGUAUUUGUGCCUGAAAGAAGGGAAGGAAAGAAAUAUCCCAUUUUAAAAUCAAGCUUCCCUGAUGAAUUGGGUACUUUACUUAUGAAGUCUAAGCUUUUGUUGCCUAAUUUUUUAGUCUUUUAAUAGAGAAUACUUCACACAGAUUAAGCCUUGAAAGGAAAUAAUUACCAAAUAUGUAAAUAGACAUUUCUAUACACUAAUAUCUGCACCUAACUAUAUUUGCCUUUAUGGCUAUUACGUGUAUUAAACUAAAUACACAUUAAAUAUUUAUAGUCAAUCUUCUAUUUUUUUGAUGCAUAAAUGAACAUUCUCCACCAGAACCAGUCAUGUCUGUGAGAAAGCAGAUACUUUAGGUAGAAAUCCACUGGAAUAUACAUAUCUGAAGACUUAGUCCCACUCUCAAGAAACCAGAACAUUUGUUUUAAUCUGUUUAAUCUAAUUAUUUUAUUAUAGCUUCCUACAAUAGGCCUCAUGUUUGACCAUCAAUCACAUGAACUCACAUUAUACAUAAAAUAUUAAGAUUAGAUAGAUUCUGAUUGGACAUUCAUCUUUAAAAUAAAUGCUAGUAACCCUUAGUUAGAAAAUAAGGAGAAAAAAUAAAUUUUUACUAAUGAGGUUACAGUCCAAAUAUAACAUGAGAUAAAAAUGUCAAGAUAAAAAUGGGAAGUCUUAACCUUUAAAUACUGCUAAAAAAAAGUUAAGUAACACAACAGAAACUUACUAAAAUACUUUAAAAAGCUGUUGUAAAUGAAAGUGAGUGAUUUGUCCUGAAGAGAUAAUCCAGAUAGUUGGUUUCCAAUUCUGUCAUUAGAAUGCUUUUUCAACAAUGAGAUUUCAAAUAAGAAACCUGUAAUAAUGUAGAUCCAUAGGAACACGAUGAAUGUUGAUAAUAUCAAUGUAAGAAGGCAAUAUCUGGAGCUUUUAAAACAUCUUUUGUCCAAUGGUUGGGGUUUCAAAAUGGAUAGAAGAAUAACAUCUAUCAUUUUAGAGGUUUUCUGAAAGAAACCAAGGUUCCUUUUAAGUUCUUGCUUCUUGGAGAUGCCUAAAGGGAGACUAUUGUUGAAGUAAAAUACAACACUCAAAUAUAACUAGCUGAAUAGGAGACAAAGAGGCCUCUAUAGUUGAAUCCUAAUUAGAGGACAUUUUGUUCUACUUCAAGCCCUAUCCUCCAUUCUAGCUUUAACCUUCUCCUUAGAUCCACUUUAAAAGGCAAAGGUCUGCUUAGGAAUAAUGAACUUUCAUGGAUCAAGGUUCCGUUAUUUUCAUUUUAUGGAAAGAUCUGGAUUCAAUUCUGAAAUGCCAUCCGGUCUCUGUGGGUCUUUGGGAACUCCACGUGUUUUGCUAAACAGUAGCUUUUCGAGCAAAACGGUUGAACAAUGUGGCCCUAGGACAUAUUUUAAGAACACUCAUGCCUGGUUACCAUUUAAGAAUUCACCAGACAAAAAUGAUUACCAGGUCACUGCCAGCUACAAUUCUUACAUUUCAACAUUUUAAAUAAUUUAUAUGAAAGGCAAAGAAAAUAAAUGUCACUUUUUUGGUUUUCAAUCAAACUAGCAGUUCACAUAUUAGGACCUAUUACUUUCCAAAAGUCACACAGUCCCUACAAAAGUUUGCCACACAACUUAUCACCAAAAGUAUUUCCAGUCUACAUGUGUUUACAUAUCAAAGAAAGCUUAAUUAAUCAGAGGAAAUCUAGCACAAAUGUAUGUUAUAGCCUAAAUAAUUUAGUUUCUAGCUAAAUGAAGAUCUACUUCAGAUUAUGAUAUUUUAAAAUAAAAAUGAAUCACCCAAGAAAUAAUCACUUUUGGGUAAACUAUCAUUUUAAUGUCAUUAAUCGUUCCUGUUUUUGAGUAAAUAGUAUAUUAACAACUAAAAGAGUUUCGGAGCAACUUGUUGUAAAUUGUGUUUUUUAGAUUUACCAGAAAAUUUUGAUAUGAAUUAUUGAAAUACCCACUUCCGCAUAUAAAAAC
rnacentral:lncRNA from 10 species